AGAGUUUGAUCAUGGCUCAGAUUGAACGCUGGCGGCAGGCCUAACACAUGCAAGUCGAGCGGUAGAGAGAAGCUUGCUUCUCUUGAGAGCGGCGGACGGGUGAGUAAUGCCUAGGAAUCUGCCUGGUAGUGGGGGAUAACGUCCGGAAACGGACGCUAAUACCGCAUACGUCCUACGGGAGAAAGCAGAGGACCUUCGGGCCUUGCGCUAUCAGAUGAGCCUAGGUCGGAUUAGCUAGUUGGUGGGGUAAUGGCUCACCAAGGCGACGAUCCGUGACUGGUCUGAGAGGAUGAUCAGUCACACUGGAACUGAGACACGGUCCAGACUCCUACGGGAGGCAGCAGUGGGGAAUAUUGGACAAUGGGCGAAAGCCUGAUCCAGCCAUGCCGCGUGUGUGAAGAAGGUCUUCGGAUUGUAAAGCACUUUAAGUUGGGAGGAAGGGCAGUAAAUUAAUACUUUGCUGUUUUGACGUUACCGACAGAAUAAGCACCGGCUAACUCUGUGCCAGCAGCCGCGGUAAUACAGAGGGUGCAAGCGUUAAUCGGAAUUACUGGGCGUAAAGCGCGCGUAGGUGGUUCGUUAAGUUGGAUGUGAAAUCCCCGGGCUCAACCUGGGAACUGCAUUCAAAACUGACGAGCUAGAGUAUGGUAGAGGGUGGUGGAAUUUCCUGUGUAGCGGUGAAAUGCGUAGAUAUAGGAAGGAACACCAGUGGCGAAGGCGACCACCUGGACUGAUACUGACACUGAGGUGCGAAAGCGUGGGGAGCAAACAGGAUUAGAUACCCCGGUAGU
rnacentral:rRNA from 1 species